UGGGGAAUUUUGGACAAUGGGCGAAAGCCUGAUCCAGCAAUGCCGCGUGUGUGAAGAAGGCCUUCGGGUUGUAAAGCACUUUUGUCCGGAAAGAAAUCCUUGGCUCUAAUACAGUCGGGGGAUGACGGUACCGGAAGAAUAAGCACCGGCUAACUACGUGCCAGCAGCCGCGGUAAUACGUAGGGUGCAAGCGUUAAUCGGAAUUACUGGGCGUAAAGCGUGCGCAGGCGGUUUGCUAAGACCGAUGUGAAAUCCCCGGGCUCAACCUGGGAACUGCAUUGGUGACUGGCAGGCUAGAGUAUGGCAGAGGGGGGUAGAAUUCCACGUGUAGCAGUGAAAUGCGUAGAGAUGUGGAGGAAUACCGAUGGCGAAGGCAGCCCCCUGGGCCAAUACUGACGCUCAUGCACGAAAGCGUGGGGGAGCAAACAGGAUUAGAUACCCUGGUAGUCCACGCCCUAAACGAUGUCAACUAGUUGUUGGGGGAUUCAUUUCCUUAGUAACGUAGCUAACGCGUGAAGUUGACCGCCUGGGGAGUACGGUCGCAAGAUUAAAACUCAAAGGAAUUGACGGGGUCAUAG
rnacentral:rRNA from 1 species